UAUUGGACGGAAAAUCUUAUUGGAUUUUUCAGGAAUUUCUAGAAAUUUUUCGGGAUUUAAACGGAGUCUGUAUGACCCAUUUUAGGGGGAUAGAUCCUGGGUACAGAGGAGGUCUGUUUGGAAUACCCAAAGGUGGGAAUUGAUUGAGGAGUGGACUUAGGCUUUGAUUAAGCUAAAUUAGGUUUGGGGAUUAAUGCUACAGUAACCUACCUUAUAAGCGCCGAGGACCCCUCUUUUCCCCCGAUUCUUCUUCCUCCCCUGUCCACUUCGUCCCGAUCCUCACCGGCGAUUCUCCUCCUCCUCCUUAUCUCGGUGUCGCCGGCGUGGCUGAUGGUGGAGUGCUUAGGAGGGAAGACAAGCUACGGGCGUUUCUCUCCUUCCUCCCAUUCUCGAUUCCCAUCGCAUCUCAGUCGUGAUGCCGGCGAUUCUUGAUCGCGCCAGUGAUGUCCAGCCCAUCGCCACCGGACCUUCCUUCUCCAUCCCGAUUGCUGAUGCCCCGUCUCCCUCCUCCCUCUCCCGUUCGUGAUGCUGGAAUCCAUCGACCCACGGGAUGCCGUAGCCGUUCUUGAAGCUGUGCCCUAGCUCAGAUUCGUCGCCGACAACCACUCUUUCCCCCACCCGAUGUGUUUCUCUCGCAACCUCUUCUGAUCGUUGGUCGCACUACCACGGCCUCGCUGCCUCGCCGUGUACUGGAGUCUCGAUCGAGUGCCACCACCAGGGAACGAUUAGUUUAGGCAUCAGAUCGAAAUAUUGGAGGAUUGCACUGUUGCCGAUCACUGCCACUCCAACUCUUGAAGCUGUGGAGGUCACGGGUGUGAAGGAAUUCUUGGUGGUUGUGUGCAGAGAUUGGUAGAGGGCUGUUGAGCUACUGGGUUUGUUGCCAUACCUCAAGGACUUGGAUUCGGGACGAGCGUCUCGACACGGGAUUACU